CCUAACACAUGCAAGUCGAACGCAGUAGCAAUACUGAGUGGCAGACGGGUGAGUAACAUGUGGGAAUCUGCCUUGUGGUUCAGGACAACAUUGGGAAACCGAUGCUAAUACUGGAUAAGCCCUUACGGGGAAAGUUUUAAUGCCAUAAGAUGAGCCCGCAUUUGAUUAGUUAGUUGGUGAGGUAAUGGCUCACCAAGACAAUGAUCAAUAGCUGAUCUGAGAGGAUGAUCAGCCACACUGGGACUGAGACACGGCCCAGACUCCUACGGGAGGCAGCAGUGGGGAAUCUUGCACAAUGGAGGAAACUCUGAUGCAGCGAUGCCGCGUGAGUGAAGAAGGCCUUUGGGUUGUAAAGCUCUUUUGUAGGGGAAGAUAAUGACUGUACCCUAAGAAUAAGGUCCGGCUAACUUCGUGCCAGCAGCCGCGGUAAUACGAAGGGACCUAGCGUAGUUCGGAAUUACUGGGCGUAAAGCGCGCGUAGGCCGUUGAGUUAGUUAAUUGUGAAAUCCCAAAGCUUAACUUUGGAACUGCAAUUAAAACUGCUCGACUAGAGUUUGAUAGAGGAAAGCGGAAUACAUAGUGUAGAGGUGAAAUUCGUAGAUAUUAUGUAGAACACCAGUUGCGAAGGCGGCUUUCUGGAUCAACACUGACGCUGAGGCGCGAAAGUAUGGGUAGCAAAGAGGAUUAGAUACCCUCGUAGUCCAUACCAUAAACGAUGAUUGCUAGAUGUUGGAAAUUUAUUUUCAGUAUCGCAGCUAACGCAUUAAGCAAUCCGCCUGGGGAGUACGACCGCAAGGUUAAAACUCAAAUGAAUUGACGG
rnacentral:rRNA from 1 species